rnacentral:rRNA from 1 species
UACGUAGGUGGCGAGCGUUGUCCGGAAUUACUGGGCGUAAAGAGCGCGCAGGCGGCUGGUCAAGUCCGACGUGAAAUCUCCCGGCUUAACUGGGAAAUUGCAUCGGAAACUGAUCGGCUUGAAGGUGGGAGAGGGUAGCGGAAUUCCCGGUGUAGUGGUGAAAUGCGUAGAUAUCAAGAGGAACACCUGAGGUGAAGACGGGUUGCUGGGCUGACACUGACGCUGAGGCGCGAAAGCCAGGGGAGCAAACGGG